GACGAACGCUGGCGGCGUGCUUAACACAUGCAAGUCGAACGGAAAGGCCCUGCUUUUGUGGGGUGCUCGAGUGGCGAACGGGUGAGUAACACGUGAGUAACCUGCCCUUGACUUUGGGAUAACUUCAGGAAACUGGGGCUAAUACCGGAUAGGAGCUCCUGCUGCAUGGUGGGGGUUGGAAAGUUUCGGCGGUUGGGGAUGGACUCGCGGCUUAUCAGCUUGUUGGUGGGGUAGUGGCUUACCAAGGCUUUGACGGGUAGCCGGCCUGAGAGGGUGACCGGCCACAUUGGGACUGAAAUACGGCCCAGACUCCUCCGGGAGGCAGCAGUGGGGAAUAUUGCACAAUGGGCGGAAGCCUGAUGCAGCAACGCCGCGUGCGGGAUGACGGCCUUCGGUUUGUAAACCGCUUUCGCCUGUGACGAAGCGUGAGUGACGGUAAUGGGUAAAGAAGCACCGGCUAACUACGUG
rnacentral:rRNA from 1 species